rnacentral:rRNA from 1 species
AGAGUUUGAUUCUGGCUCAGAACGAACGCUGGCGGCGUGGAUAAGACAUGCAAGUCGAACGGAAGAAUGCUAGCUUGCUAAUAUUCUUCAGUGGCGCACGGGUGAGUAACACGUGAGCAACCUACCUUCGAGUGGGGGAUAGCCCCGGGAAACUGGGAUUAAUACCGCAUGAGGUCGAAAGAUCAAAGCAGCAAUGCGCUUGAAGAUGGGCUCGCGUCCUAUUAGUUAGUUGGUGAGGUAACGGCUCACCAAGGCGAUGACGGGUAGCCGGUCUGAGAGGAUGUCCGGCCACACUGGAACUGAGACACGGUCCAGACACCUACGGGUGGCAGCAGUCGAGAAUCAUUCACAAUGGGGGCAACCCUGAUGGUGCGACGCCGCGUGGGGGAAGAAGGUCUUCGGAUUGUAAACCCCUGUCAUGUGGGAGCAAGCAGCAAUGUUGAUAGUACCACAAGAGGAAGAGACGGCUAACUCUGUGCCAGCAGCCGCGGUAAUACAGAGGUCUCAAGCGUUGUUCGGAAUCACUGGGCGUAAAGAGUACGUAGGCUGUUUUCUAAGUCAGGUGUGAAAGGCAGGGGCUCAACCCCUGGACUGCACAUGAUACUGGGAGACUGGAGUAAUGGAGGGGGAACCGGAAUUCUCGGUGUAGCAGUGAAAUGCGUAGAUAUCGAGAGGAACACUCGUGGCGAAGGCGGGUUCCUGGACAUUAACUGACGCUGAGGUACGAAGGCCAGGGUAGCGAAAGGGAUUAGAUACCCCUGUAGUCCUGGCAGUAAACGGUGCACGCUUGGUGUGAGGGGACUCGACCCCCCUCGUGCCGGAGCUAACGCGUUAAGCGUGCCGCCUGGGGAGUACGGUCGCAAGAUUAAAAC